GACGAACGCUGGCGGCGUGCUUGACACAUGCAAGUCGAACGGAAAGGCCCUGCUUUUGUGGGGUGCUCGAGUGGCGAACGGGUGAGUAACACGUGAGCAACCUGCCCUUGACUUUGGGAUAACUUCAGGAAACUGGGGCUAAUACCGGAUAGGAGCUCCUGCUGCAUGGUGGGGGUUGGAAAGUUUCGGCGGUUGGGGAUGGACUCGCGGCUUAUCAGCUUGUUGGUGGGGUAGUGGCUUACCAAGGCUUUGACGGGUAGCCGGCCUGAGAGGGUGACCGGCCACAUUGGGACUGAGAUACGGCCCAGACUCCUACGGGAGGCAGCAGUGGGGAAUAUUGCACAAUGGGCGGAAGCCUGAUGCAGCAACGCCGCGUGCGGGAUGACGGCCUUCGGGUUGUAAACCGCUUUCGCCUGUGACGAAGCGUGAGUGACGGUAAUGGGUAAAGAAGCACCGGCUAACUACGUG
rnacentral:rRNA from 1 species